rnacentral:lncRNA from 1 species
UGAGAGGGGCCUGGCACGAUUCUACGACACGUAAACCAAUUAAAUUUAGACAGCGUUUAUAUAUUACAAACCCCUAAAAGUGUAAUGUUUGUGUUGAUGCGGACCAGUGGACUUGGUCCAAGGGAUAGUAUGUCCCUUUUUUUUUUUUUUUGGGAUAGUAUGUCCCUUGCUUCUUCUUUUUUCUUUGUUAUUACAUGAAACAUGGCAGGUCGUCUCUUUUAAUCGCAAGGUUAUUGCAUGUUGGUUUGU